rnacentral:lncRNA from 1 species
AAAAAAUGAAAUCGAAUUUAAAUAAUGAAAAAACGUGCUAGGGUCAAAAGAGAGUUUAUGCAUGACUCCGAUGUAAACCUCAUUGUGUGCCACCACGCCGGAAAUCGCCUUCGGCGGCGGUGGCCACCAAAAACACAGAUUUGACCCACCAUCUAGCUCGUCUUCUCAUGCUCUUCCUAAACCUUCCCUCAAUUCCAUGAAAAUCUAAACCUAAAGUUGUAACCGAAUCAUGAUAUCCCAAGAACCCUAGGUGUUGGAAGUUAAAUUACAUGCUCCUUACGAGGAAUUUAAGCUUGAGACCCUAGAGCUUUGGUUCCUCCCUCAACACUCUACGUCAUGGUAUAAAAGAAUUGUGAAAAGUGAAGGUUUCAGAAGUUACCUUGCCGGAGACGACGAAGGCGACGACGAAUUUCCGAUGAGUCCUUCUUACUCUGAAUCUCUUUUUUUGCUCUUGAUUAUACAACCUUCUUCUCGUUGUUUAUGUUGUGUUCACCGUGAUUGAAUUGAACCGAGUUAGUGAGUGAAGCUUGAGAGGUUAUGGUGAGUGAUUGAGUUGUGAGAGUUCUAGGUUGGUGAAGGUUGAUGAAUGAUGGAGACAAGUUUUUGGGGAGGAGAGGUUUUUGGAAUUUGAGAGGUUUAUGAGGAUUUUCUGAUUGUUGAGAAUGAGAGGUUUAAUGAUUGAAUUUUGGUAAAAAUGAUUUCCCUCCUCCUAAUUGAGGAGAUGAUGAAUUUUAUUUAUGAGUUGUUAUGAUGUGGCCUAGGGAUCUGAGAAAUCAGUUAGGGAAGUUUGUUGUAAUUGAAAUAUUCAUGAAAUCGAGGAAAAGUGGUUAUGAGUUUUGUUAUUGUAGUUAGUUAGGUUAGUUGAUAUUUGGUGGUGAUGGAUUCUUGCAACUAGGGUGUGCUGGUAUGCAUUUUCUUUUCCCUAUUUCCACUUCUGCAUGUUAUUGUUUUGCUGCUAUUAAUAUGUGUUUGCAUUGUAGCUGCCUUGUACUAUGACCUUGAUGCUUGGAUGUGCAUUAUGAAUGAAUUAUAUUGUUAAUUUAAUGCCUUUCCAUGCUAGUGUUGUGACCUGAUUAAUGUAUUAUGAUAUGUCAAGCCGGUGUUCAACUGAAUUACUGUUGAUGUCUUCAUGCUCCAUUUCGAUUUUCAUGACUUGGUUUGUUGUGCUUUGACUUGUUUGCAAGGUUUUGUACUGGUCUUGUUGGUUUGGCCAUGUCAUGGAGAUGCUAUGAUUGAGUUUGAGAAGGUUUUGUGUUGUAUGAUUUGUUGCAUGAUGCCUUGGUCAGGUUGAUGAAUAAAGGUCUGUUAUGUUGGGCAUGUACAUGAUGUAUGUUACAGACUCAAGUUUGAUGUCUUAAUGUGUAUGGCACCUGCUUGGACUGAUGGUAUGCAUGUCUACCAUUAACUUGAGUUGCUGCAAUUUUAUUUUAUGUUGGAUGGUGCAUGGUUGAAUGCUUCUAACUACUACAGGUUUAUGGUGGAUGCAUAAUGGUUUUAUUGUCUUGGUUUCAUGUUAUGGAAAUGGAUGGUUUACAUGCUAUUUGAUGCAUGACUGCUUUUGUUUUGCUUGGUUUGAAUUAAUGGUAUGCAUUAUGGUAACAUGUAUGUGUAUGCAAUGUUAAUGAUUCUUAUGCUAUGUGUUGUUAAGAAUGUGGUUAUCAUGGUUGUGAAAUGAAUUGAAUGCAUGGUUGUUGCUAGUGAUGGGGUAUGGCUCAUGAACUUAAGACAUUUGGAGCAAGACCACCAUGAAUGACUUGAAGAAAAUGGUUACUUACAAAUGAAGAAAUUUGGCAAUGAAGUUGAAAAUGAAAAUAAAAGCAUGAAGAGCAAAGUGGAAACUCGGCAUUAGGUUUAGGGAUUUAGAUGAGUUGACUUUGGUCAACCGGUUGACCAAAAAGUCAAUAGUUGACCAAAGUCAACUAUAGGCCAAAAGUCAUUUUUUUUGUAUUUUUUUGUAUUUUAUUCAUGUAUGGAUAUUUUUAUGAUCUAUGUAAUGCAAUUUGGUAUUUGAAUGAAAUGGAUUAGUAUUUGAAUGAAUUGGAUACUUG